CCUUCGAUAGCUCAGUUGGUAGAGCGGUGGACUGUAGAUGGUUAAAAUUUGAAAUCCAUAGGUCGCUGGUUCAAAUCCGGCUCGAAGGA
rfam:Papilio machaon contig50458, whole genome shotgun sequence.